rnacentral:lncRNA from 1 species
GUUAAGUGCCAAAAGAGAGAUUUUCAAGAGGGUUUAGGUGUUUUGGCAUGAUUAUCAUUACAAUAAUAAAGAAAGAAGGGCAAAAGGUUCAAAUGGAUUAACUAGGGAACAAUGUUAAGGUGGAAAUUUGGCUAUGUGAUGGGUCAAAAAGGAUCUCGGGUCAUCCUUCAAACCAAGCUUGCCUAGAAUUUCGUUUUGAAUACACUCGGGGCAGGUUCUAGACUACACAUAAGCACAAGAAUUAUUCAAAAAACUCACUACUCAUGGCAUCGUACACAUAAAGCAAAAAGUUAAUCUCCCAACCAAUUUUAGCAAUUUGAGCUUCAUAAGUUACUCCGAGUCAACGACUCAUUCUUGUAAUGAGAGAGACAAAAAUUGAGUUUAAUGGUCUCACUCAUAAGAAAACUCAAGAACACCCUUGAUUUCUUUUUCUUUUUCAAAAAGAAAUCUAUAAUUUUUUUUUCUCAAAAUCAUUUUAUUUCUUGCCAAUGACAUUUUGAAAGUAUUUUAAACUUUUGCCUCUUUCUAAACAAUUAAAGAAAAACUUGAGUGAAUGCAAGGCAACAUUAUCAUUACACCUCAUGGGAUUCUUUCCUUACCACUUCACAUAUCGCUCAUUUAGAUCAUAAAAUACUCGUAACACUAAUAAAAACAUAAACGACCCUAUACCCUUAAGAAUGGCGCCACCCAAUCUAUCAUAGGGCAGGAUAAGCAUUCAUGUCUCUCUUACUAGGGGCACAACAUUCCUCAAUAAUUUCAAUCAAAGACCACCGGUUAUUCCACAUUCAAGACCAAUUAGACUUAAAGUUAUGCUCUAAAAACGAUCACCAAAUACCCCAAAGAUAGUUCCCAUUAACCAUUACAAACAUAUAAGGCAUUAAUCUCUUAUUGGCAUUUUAACAAACAUGUGGUGUACAACAAAGGUAAAAACUUGAAAAAUAGAAUGACAACACAUGAGAGCAAGCUCAAUGUCCCAAUUCAUCACCAAACAUAUCAUUUGUAAUCACACAAGCUCAAUGUCCCAAUUCAUCACCAAACAUAUCAUUUGUAAUCACACUAACUCAAUUAGAUCACCCACCACUCAAUUAAGCAAACAAACUACAAGUGGGAAUUUCGUCGAACACAUGGUGUGUACCAGUGUAUGGAAGCAAGAAUUGCAAUUAGACAAUGUAAACCAAGGCAUGGGUUAAAAAAUGUUCAUCCAAAUAAUCUCAUUUUGCCAAAUUAAGUUCAAAUACAAUAAAUUUAAACCAAAAGAAAGCAUGAAAAUGUGAUCACUAUUCAACCUUUUUAAAGAGAACUCCAAAGAAUAUUUAACCAAAGAUCAUACCUUGUGAACUUUCUUAUGGGAGGAAAACAAUAAAAGAAAAGCAUGAUAUACCUAUCGGGGUUCUACUAUUGAAAUAAGACCUUAGAGUUUGCAUUUGGGAUGGAAACAUGCAAAAUUUGGUUCAGCAAAUCCGUUCCAAAUCUGUCCAUAGGCAUGUACCAUAGGGGAUCUGCGCCCCAAGUGCUUUACACCUGCGCUUGGCUUGCUUAAGCAGGUCUAGCGCAGGUCAAUGCAGUGACCUUCAGUGAAAACAGCCUCUCCUGUGUCCUUUUUGCGCCUGGACUACUGGAGCAGUUCCAGCGCAUCUCACGACAGAACACCAAGGGUUUAACUGCGUCCCAAAUACGGCUGACCUACGCCUAGACUGCUUGAGCAUGUCCAGCGCAGGUCUGGACAAUACCUUCAGCUUCUUGGCUUCAAUUCUGUGUUCCAAAUGCUCUCCACCUGCGGCUGACCUGCAAAAGUAGGUACAACACAGGUUAUACCAGUUUUGGCCCCCGAAUUUUCUUCACAAAGUUCUUGGUUUGGAGCUUAGUUUCGAGCCUUCAAACUAAUCUUCUCGCAUUCAAAGUUUAUGGUAUUACCUGCAUCAACCAAAAGAACGCUAAAAUUAGUAUGAAAAAUAUUAAAAACAUCAAAAAUAAAUCUUGGAUUGCCUCUCAAGAAGCGUCGUAGUUAUAGUCGUGGAACGACAUCACUUGGUCAUCUUUUAUCUCUCCACUUAGAUGAUUUGAAUCAUCGGCCCAUCUUUUUAUCAUUACAUCUUUUAGGUACAUUGGGCAAAUGCGAGAGUAUGAUGAUGAAUGUUCAAUCGCGCCACUUCGAAGACUUGAAUUGUUUGCCCAAUUUUGCAUCGAACUUUCGUGUGAGCUCGUUGGGUAACAGUGAGAAUCUUAGAAAGCCACUAAAUGGACAUCGAUCUUUAAUCUUCUUGGCCUUCAAGAUUGGGGUCUUAGUAUAUCCUUUUGGAAAGACAAACUCCGGGAUGUAAGGAAAUAACUCGUUCUCACCAUCAUUCAAGAUUUACUCGAAUGGAUUGAUUUUCAUCAACGCCACCGCACUUAUUGUUGAGAAAUGGUUAGAAUGUGGUCUUUUCCCCAAUUUCGGAGUUGUCUCCAUUUUGGUAUCCUUACCCUAAAAUUUACUAGAGUCGAUGUAAGGGAUUUGCUUGGAUUCUUCUUCCGACUCUUAUACCAUGUCCUUCUUUUUGGCACCAUCUCUCGUGUUUGGCUUGAUUGGUUGGGAAAUUAUUGAGUAUUCUUCAAUAUCAUGCUUAUUUAGAAGAGCGGGCUUGGUUGUGGUGUUUGAAGUAUUAACUUCCAUGCCCACAUCUUCUAUCUUCUUGAAUUUUUCUCUGAAUUCCUUGUGUAUAAUGGUUGCUUCCUCC